GGUGAGGCGAGGCUCCCUUUCGUUCUCAUCUUUCCUCAUAUCUUCCCUCCCCCGGACACCCCAUUCCCAAGAGGAAAGAAAGAAACAACGCGAAAAGAGCCCCUGGAUGAAGCACGCUCGGCAGAAACUGUCAAAACUUGGAGAAGGGAACCUCGCGGGCAGGCAGAGGAGGAGAAUCCUGAAAGUCGGUGGAGGUUGGGAAGAUGCGGUGCCUCGAGGAUUAGUUUAAACAGGGGGCUAUAAAAGAUGUAACAGAUGCAAACUGUAACACAAGGGCCAUUAACCCUUUCCCUGCCUCCCCUACACUCAAUCCUUACGCCCCGCACCUAUUGUCUCCCAUGCUCGAAGCUUUGCGGAAAACCUGGAAAACACAUCCCCACUCAAAAGAAGAAAAUUAGAAAAGGAGGAUGGAGGACACCAAAAAUGGGUUAAAAAAAACCAUAAACAAACAAAAAAGGGAGGGAAGAAGGGAAAACCUACCUGCGAAGUCUUGUUUGUAGUUUUGGCCAGAAAUGGUGAGAAGAAAAAGCAUGAAGAAGCCGCGAAGUGUGGGGGAGAAAAAGGUGGAAGCGAAGAAACAGCUCCCGGAGCAAACUGUACAAAACCUCGCCAAGAGUGUCGGGAGGCAGGACCGUUAUUCCUGCGGAGCAGGGGAGAGAAGAGAGACCCUGAAACACGCGCCACCUAUCUUUGUGGGGAGGGAUAAUUGAAGCGCCCUGAGCGUGAGCAUCAUGUGAAAACGUGAUCGCCAAGUUUCUCUCUGGGAAAGGAUCUGGGAUAGAUUAUACCUUGAAGUCUCCGCAAACGCUUUAGUGGAAGAAAUGAAAUUCCACCUCCCUCCCUUCCUCUCUCCCUCCCGCGCGUCUCUCCUCUCUCUCCUCUCUCUCUCUCUCUCUCUCUCCUCUCUCUCUCUCUCUCUUCCCCCUCCCUCCUUCUCCCUCUCUCACCCUCCACCCUUCCCCUCCCUCCGUCCCUUCUCCACGCCCCCCCCCCCCAACCUUUUGGCAUCAUUACCCUCAUCACUAAAUCCUACAGAGUACAGGGCGGAAAACCGUGCACAUCACUCACAACUACAGAACUCCAAGGGGCGAAAGUUAAAGGGAAAGAUCCUGGGUCUUCAAUCCAGAUCACCUCUUUUUUUUCCUUUUUAAUAUAGAUAUCUCCAAUGACCAGAUUUGAGAUGCAUCAAGUUGUGUGGCUAUCAGAACCGCUUCUGACUAAAUUGUCUCUCUCUCUCUCUCUCUCUCUCUCUCUCUCUCUCUCUCUCUAUCUCUCUCUCUCUCUCUCUCAGCAAGAGCCAGAGGGUGGGAGUGGGGUGAGUGCUACAUAUAAACUGAAUCUUAGGAUGUGUGUACCGGUGAUUUUGUAGAUUGGAUCAUGAUAUUAAAUGUACUUGGAGAUUUUAAUAAAUGGUCUCUAAAUUAAUGCAGAAUAUUGGGUUGGCCAAUCAGUAGAUCUUCCUGCAUCUCAGAGACCUCACUACAAAGUGAGUAUGCAGACAGGAAGGC